UGGGGAAUUUUGGACAAUGGGGGAAACCCUGAUCCAGCCAUCCCGCGUGUGCGAUGAAGGCCUUCGGGUUGUAAAGCACUUUUGGCAGGAAAGAAACGUCAUGGGUUAAUACCCCGUGAAACUGACGGUACCUGCAGAAUAAGCACCGGCUAACUACGUGCCAGCAGCCGCGGUAAUACGUAGGGUGCAAGCGUUAAUCGGAAUUACUGGGCGUAAAGCGUGCGCAGGCGGUUCGGAAAGAAAGAUGUGAAAUCCCAGAGCUCAACUUUGGAACUGCAUUUUUAACUACCGGGCUAGAGUGUGGCAGAGGGAGGUGGAAUUCCGCGGGGAGCAGUGAAAUGCGUAGAUAUGCGGAGGAACACCGAUGGCGAAGGCAGCCUCCUGAGAUAACACUGACGCUCAUGCACGAAAGCGUGGGGAGCAAACAGG
rnacentral:rRNA from 1 species